rnacentral:rRNA from 1 species
GGAAUUGCUAGUAAUGGCAGGUCAGCAUACUGCCGUGAAUACGUUCCCGGGCCUUGUACACACCGCCCGUCACACCAUGAGAGUUGGGAAUACCCGAAGCCUGUGAGCCAACUUUUAAAGAGGCAACAGUCGAAGGUAGAAUCAAUGAUUGGGGUGAAGUCGUAACAAGGUAUC